UGGGGAAUCUUGCGCAAUGGGCGAAAGCCUGACGCAGCGACGCCGCGUGCGGGAAGAAGGCCUUCGGGUUGUAAACCGCUUUCAGGAGGGACGAAGCCACUCGGGUUAAUAGCCCAGAGGGUGACGGUACCUCCAGAAGAAGCCCCGGCUAACUACGUGCCAGCAGCCGCGGUAAUACGUAGGGGGCAAGCGUUGUCCGGAUUUAUUGGGCGUAAAGAGCGUGUAGGCGGCCAGGUAGGUCCGUUGUGAAAACUCGAGGCUCAACCUCGAGACGUCGGCGGAAACCCUCUGGCUAGAGUCCGGAAGAGGAGAGUGGAAUUCCUGGUGUAGCGGUGAAAUGCGCAGAUAUCAGGAAGAACACCCGUGGCGAAGGCGGCUCUCUGGGACGGUACUGACGCUGAGACGCGAAAGCGUGGGGAGCAAACAGGAUUAGAUACCCCCGUAGUCC
rnacentral:rRNA from 1 species